CAGGUCUUGACAUCACCUAGCAAGCCAUGGAAACAUGGCCCUCCUUCGGGACUGGGUGCAGGUGGUGCAUGGUUGUCGUCAGCUCGUGUCGUGAGAUGUUGGGUUAAGUCCCGCAACGAGCGCAACCCUUGCCUUUAGUUGCCAGCAUUAAGUUGGGGACUCUAAAGGGACUGCCGGCGACAAGUCGGAGGAAGGUGGGGAUGACGUCAAAUCAUCAUGCCCCUUAUGAUCUGGGCUACACACGUGCUACAAUGGGUGGUACAGAGGGAAGCGAAGCUGUGAGGCGGAGCGAAUCCCAGAAAGCCACUCUCAGUUCGGAUUGCAGGCUGCAACUCGCCUGCANGAAGUCGGAAUCGCUAGUAAUCG
rnacentral:rRNA from 1 species